CUUAUAAAUCAAAUUUUUCUCUCUCCUCUUGUAUACUCUCUCAUUCCCCUUUUUCUGCUGCGGCUGCUCCUCCAUUUUUGUCCACAUCCAAGCUCCAAAACCUCCCUUUUAGUAUUAUUUUCACUCAUAAUUACUAAAUUUCCAUUCCUCUUUCAUAUCUCAACCACUUCCACCGCUUGAAAUUUCUUCAAAAUGGCUGAAUCUUCAAAGAGGCAAAGGUUUAGGGGUCCUCUUCAUCUGCUGCAAGACAUCGCCGACGUGAAUCCUCACUGGUUGAAAGCUCACCCUCACCACCACCGUCACCGAAUCAAUCACACCCCAAUCUUCCCUUUUCCACCCCUGCACAAUUAGAGAGGUAUUUUUCACACUUCUGUGACCGUGAAGUCAUUGAGCCGAAAAACCUAGACCAAGAAUAUUUUGACGGGGAAAAUUUUGAGUUUCACCAUAUGUUGACAAAUCUAGUUUUAGGUGAUUUUGUUUGUCAUUAUUCACACUACUACCUUGACUUAGGUUGAGUGUUUUCCGUAUCUGAAAAUGACACCAUUCAUAAUGAGGUAAAAAAUGUCAAAAUGGUCAUUAGACCAAACCUAUUUUCUUUCGUUACCAACCACUCAUAUGUAGGCUUGGAUUUUGAUGGUCAUAUACUUGAAGAAUGGGCAGAUGAGUAUAAUAUCCUAGAAGCUAAACAAAUGAUAUCUAACCCCACUGCACCCCCUUUGGGUAGAAUACUAGCCGAGUCUAUGAAAGUCGAGACUCGAAUACUACAUUAUAUCAUCUACUGUAUUUUGCUUCCUUGUGUAUCUAAUGUUGCAAUGGAUACCAAGGAAUAUCUCCUUCUAAUGAGGAUCAUCCUGAGAGCAAAGCAGAUCAACUAGGGUCAUCUCAUCCGACAUAGGAUGGAGAAGGGUUUGAGGGACAGGGCUCCUCUACCGUAUCCAUAUUUGGUCAUCCUUUUCAUGGAACAUUUGGAAAUUCCAUUGGAUGAUGAGCAACCUGUCCUAGAGAAGAAGUUCACAAUUGCGGCUGACGUCAUCUUUUCCUUUGGAUUUCAGAAAAACAGAGAUGGACAGUUGGUUUACAGAAAUGCUCCUACUCAUUGCCAACAUCUUCAACAUCCUCAACGCCAACUACCUGCUCUUCAAUAAGAUACAUCCUCACCUAAUGACAUAAUGAACGAGAUACGUGAUCUGCGAGCAUUUGUUGAUGGGCGAGUUGGUCAGCUUGAGUUAAACAUGGGUGAUAGAUUCAAUAUCAUUGAUGCUCGAGCUAGACAUAUUGAGCAAGACAUGGAGUAUCUUCAUUGUCAUUUUGGCCCACCUGUAAUCGAUUACCACAUGUUUUUUGCUAUUACUAGAGACCUGUGAACUCGUGUCCCUUGCACGACUUUGGUACUGUGUUAUCGAUUACAAGGCCUGAUAAUCGAUUAUCGAGGUCUAAAAGCGUUUUGGGUGCACGACUUUACCUUUGACUCGUGUGUCAGGGUGAAGUUGUGCAGGGGGUACGACUGCUUCUUGUGAAGUCGUCUGACCCCCACGACUUGCCUAAAUGUGUCCCACGACUUGUCUAAACGUGUUGCAACGGGAAAGAAGACAAGAAUCAGAGUGAGCUAGAAACAGUGAUGUCUAUGGCAACUGAGGAACUGUCAAGGAGGCCUAGAACCGGGGGCAUAUACAAAGCAAUUGCGAGUCAACGCGAGUGCACUGUGAAACGUUUGAAAGAUUUGUCAAACAAAGAGAUUACAAUAGAUGUUGGUCUUGAGAUGGGUGAUGGAGCACAUCUUUUGAAGCUCAUGAGCUUCUCUAGCAGUGAGAUCGAGAUGGCAGGGCAAAAGGGUCGCAAAGGAGCUAUGUUGUUGAUUCAAGCAGAGAUCCUUCGCAAGAAGGGACAGGAACUCAUUGCUGAAUGCCAGAACUUGCUCCAAGAUGCAUUGUAACUUUAGGCAUUUGGAGGCUAUUAAGGUUCUAUGUGUGGCUGUUGGGAAGAUUAAAAGUUCAGAUCUUUCAAACGUUUUCUGCUAUAUGUCUACUGGAUAUUGAAGACUUUCUCACUGGCAUGUUUAUUGACAUACUUAAAAAUUAUAAAAACCACAAUGUUACAGUAAUAUGUGAUCAAUUUGAGAAAACUUUAAAGAGUUUAAAAUAUACUGAGGAAAAGGGUGUAUAGGUACUUGAAUUUGCUCCAAUAAUUGAAACUCAACUCAGUACCACGUCACAAGAAAUAGCAACAGUGAGUGUGAAAGCUGAUAUGAAAAAUUGCUCAGUCUGCUACAUUACUGUACUAGUUAAUGUGGCCAACAAAGUAUUGUCGUUGAAACUUUUGAUGACACUAUCUUUAGCUUAUCUUUAUGCAUGUGCUACCCAACUGCUACUGACUAACACUGUUUGCAAGAAAUCUAGAUCAGUAAUUGCAUAUUUAUUGUCUACUAAAACAAUUUCUUAGCUGAUAUUGUGCACACUUUCAUUUGUUUUUUUCCUUCCAAUUUUCUUCUCUAGUCUUAACCAGGGUUGGCAUAGCAGGAGUUCCUCACGUGGUUGAAGAUUAAUGU